GUACACUCCUGCGGGAGGCAGCAGUGGGGAAUUUUGGACAAUGGGCGAAAGCCUGAUCCAGCAAUGCCGCGUGAGUGAAGAAGGCCUUCGGGUUGUAAAGCUCUUUUGUCAGGGAAGAAACGGUGAAAGCUAAUAUCUUUUGCUAAUGACGGUACCUGAAGAAUAAGCACCGGCUAACUACGUGCCAGCAGCCGCGGUAAUACGUAGGGUGCAAGCGUUAAUCGGAAUUACUGGGCGUAAAGCGUGCGCAGGCGGUUUUGUAAGUCUGAUGUGAAAUCCCCGGGCUCAACCUGGGAAUUGCAUUGGAGACUGCAAGGCUAGGAUCUGGCAGAGGGGGGUAGAAUUCCACGUGUAGCAGUGAAAUGCGUAGAUAUGUGGAGGAACACCGAUGGCGAAGGCAGCCCCCUGGGUCAAGAUUGACGCUCAUGCACGAAAGCGUGGGGAGCAAACAGGAUUAGAUACCCUUGUAGUCCCA
rnacentral:rRNA from 1 species